UAUUCAACAGAUUUUCACAAAUCUGUCAUGUUUGAAACAGGGCUUUAUAAGUUCCUUCUCGAAAAGGUCUCAGUACCUCGCGACUGCCUCGUGACGCCUAAGGGCAUCUUGUCGUCAGGUCGUAAUUUGCAUACAGCUGAUCGUGUGUGACCAAGGAGGGACACAGAUAAGUACCGUACACGCACGCAACACCUGUCACUACCCACACAAACAAAAGCGGACACGGCCACGAAGGAACAAAGGGCUCGGCUUGAGAACGGUGUUACUUCUGAUUAGACUUCUUAAAAGUACUGCGACUGCUUCCGAGCUAUCCGUGAUACAAGGAUUCACUCCCGGCACAAGACGAAAAGAAACAUGGUUUUUAACUCAUCGCCAGUUGUGACCGAUAGCGCCAUCUAUGUCGGCGGCGCUAGAGUGGAACGCACGGUAAACAAGCUACAAGAGGAAUCAUUCAAGGACCAACUGUCUUGUCUGGUCAGGGACAUCUGGAAGCGUCUUGGAACCAAACGGGAACAAAAAUGCGUCAAGAUUUGGAAUCUCCACGACUGAUUUUCCGCACCUACCUGAAGUGAGGUGUCUUCCAACUAGAAUCUCACACCACCCACACCAAACCUGAAGACACUGGGCGAAAAGUAGAGAUAUAAAUUUUUGUUCUUUGUAAAAGCAGGCCAACGGGAUUUUUGAAGCCUGGAAAGUUGGAAACUGGAAAGUUGAAUUUGUAAAAUAGAAGAAUCGUCAACAAGAGUGAGCCCGCAAAAUGGGUAACAUGACCGCACGGGUAAAUGAUAACCUAUAUGGAGGUCAAACUCCACCGCCAAUGUUUUCUCCUUAUUCCAAGGCUUGUCUUAGUUAGCCUAGUAGAGACUAUGGCCCUUGCUCUUUUGUCAGUACCUAGUAUAUGAGGAGGAAUCUGGUAGAUUUUCACCUGUAUAUGUCAUCUUUAACUUGAGGCAGAGAAGUAGUCUUCUUUGUUUGCUGUAUCUGAUAUCUUUAUUACACUUUUUGCCCUGUUGUCUGAAUGUGUCGAAUUCAAAUGUAAAUGUGAAGAUUAUAGGGCGGUUCACAAACGUGGAUAUGCGCUAGUCUAAAUUUACAUUAUCUGUUUUAGCACGGUAGGAUGAAGAUUACUUGUUAUAGAGUAUUGGUUCCUGGAAAUAUCUUGAUAUUCAAGAGGCAUAACUGGUAAACAUUAUAAAAGUUUCAUAGUUUGGUGUAGAAUGUUGAUUAUAAAGAACAUCACGAUAAUCAUGAUGUGUAACGUACAAAGCACAAACUACAUGACUUCAUCAAGUAUUUCGAUGGUGUAGUUACUAUAGUCUAGAUAUAUCAUUCAUUACUGCAUCGUUGAAGGUGCAACUUGACACAAGGUCUAUACUUCUCACUUUCCACUAUAUCCAUACAAAUACAAACAGGUCUGAAUGGUCCAUGUGUUACUUAUAAUUACCUCGAACAUCCAUAAAUGUUUGUAUUUAUUUAAAUCCUUGCAUAAAAAGAGUGUUAACUUUAUAUCUCCUUUUAUUGUUAUUCUUGCUCGUGUCAAAAUGAUACAUAUUGUUCUCAUCGCUAGUUAACUUAUUUCAUAACAAAAUAAACGGAGUUUUACUUGCAAAUUGCAGCUUGUCACUGUCCAUACACGUCUUCAAAAAUCGGACACAAUGAAUCUACAGCAAUGUAUUUUAGAUACAGGUCGAUUAGACAACGUAAGAUUUUUGAAGACUUUGCCCAAUUUGGUAGCCAAUAGAUUCAGAAGGUUCGGUCAUGAAGAAAGCUGCGAGAUCAAAGAAGGUUGUCUCAUACAAUGAGCAGUUACAUUUCGUACUUAGAGUCACAUGCUUGAUACAAGAAAAUGAUUAUCUUUAAAUCUGAGGGGGGUCCGGUUUGUGUCCCGUACAUAUAUGUCACAGAGACAGGUCACACUGGCACUGUCAGCAGGGGGCAGUGACCAGUUGCUGGUUAAAAUGUGUAUCAAUAUAUUUCAAGAAGUGACAAGUGGGAAGCAAGCAUACCUCUGUACCUUUAUCACCCCCUUCUCAUAACACCACAGUGGUAAAAAAAAUGACAAAAGACAUUUGAAAGUGGUUAAUUCAUCUUGGUGUAUCAUUGUAGCCAGUAGGUACCCAAUCUGAGUAAUGGGGCUCUUUGGCAUGCUCGAGGCACUUCCUCCAACACGUGACUGCAAUCCCUUACUCUUGCAACAUGUCCGAGCUGAUCUGACCCUGGGAUCGAACUCAGGUCUACAGAUCCACGGAAUUGGAUCCAGAUGGCCGUAAAAGAACGGAUGGAAAAACACUAGCUGCAACGAGCACACAUUAGUACCGAUAUCCUUGUAUUAAAACACAGCUGCAAUGUCAUGAAAUGAUGCCAAGAGUCAAAGUUCGUGAAACGUUAACAUGCUCUCGAACGUUGAAACGUUAACAUGCUCACGAACGUUGACCCAAAAAAAGUGGCCAAGCAGCGGGGUUACUUAACUGCUGAGCAGAAGAGACAUAUAACUACUGUCACGUCGUGCACAGACCACGUACACGAGAUACAGCGUGAAUCCUGUAUUUUGAUUUUAAGUAGUAGAUUAUUGUUUUCUUAAAUGUACUGUCAAUUGUUCGUCCUUAUUGGCCGCAGUGCCUGACAAUGAACAGUCAACAGACAACAAUUUAGGAAGAUGAUUAUCUUUAAAUGGAUGUGAGGGUCAUCCGGUGAUGUCACAAGAAGAAGGUCACACUUACACUGUGUAUGUGAUUGUCUAUGUAAAUGAACGGGUGGAAAAAGCUUCAGUAUACUCAAGCUGUUUCCUACAAAUAAUCACCGUAUCUAACAAUAUUCUGAUGCUACUAGAAGACAUACACCUGCCUACGUACGUUCAGGAGUGUUUAUCUGUGCUUAUCGCGGAAGAAAACAACAUGAUAAUAGCAGGUCACACUUAUAAUUUUAGGCGGGCGAGUCAAUGACCUCACGGUAAGCUUGUUAGAUGGUUAUUAAUAACCCGUCUUAUGACAUUACAUCAUCUUAAAUGUGAGGGACGUCUAGAACGACCCAAAUACUCAGCCGAGUGCCCGAGUGCUCCUUUGUUCUGGAGCGGUCAUCCAUACAGUUCGUGGAAGCAAAUUAUCCCCCAACAAAGGGCCGUCCAAUCCUGUACCAGUACUGCGCGAGCCAGUUUGACACAGUCAGUCGCUUGCGAAGCAGUCGCCUCAGAUUUGUCUCUGUAAGGUUUCUCACGAGGAGUAAGAUAGCCGGGUGUCGAGGCAAUAGUUUUACUCGUCCCAUCACAGUUCAGCUAGUUUUGGAUCAAAACAGGAUGGUUUUCAACACCGGUUCAGUGGUUAUCGUGGGCGGGAGAAUCCGCGUGUACUCCGGAGGGGUGGGUGUCGACUGCGGUUACAACAAGCGGGAGGAAGGUUCGUCCGACACGCCGAUUUCUGAGCGUCUCCAAGCUACGCUUGAAGCCUUCAAGAAGAUGUUUCAAGACACUUUCCGUAGAAGGUCAUCUGCAACUGCUGGCGAUCACGAAAAGGAGGUUACGGGACAUCCAGCCUAGCCUAGGGCGCCGGGCGUCGUGGUGGUGUACGUGCCGAGCGGCGCGUUCCACGGGGCGGGUUAGAGGCUGUCCGACUGGUCAGUCUCCAAUGAAUGAAUCGAUCUUUGUUGUACAAAGGUUUAAAUCUCCGACCAGACAUGAUGAAACAGUUGGCUUUUUAUUUUAGUCAUUUUCUAUAUUUCUUAGCCGUGCUGCAUGCUUUUGGGUGGAUGGUGGCAAAGAGUUACAAAGCUGUUCUUCUACGAAGACGUACUGCAAAAAGCAAAAAAUAGUUGGGCUGUUACAUCCGUGUUUGAGAUUACCUAAUUACAUUUCACAAAUGGAAAAAGAAGCGUUUUCAAAUAUGAUGAUAGUACAUCGUAUAAGCUAGUUUGGGUACUGCAUUCUAGGACGUGGAGUCGACUUCUUUUUGCUUCUAUGUAAAGGUGGUGGUGAGAGCAGAUGGUUUAAAUGUUUGUCUCUAAGCGUAAUCUAAAUGUGUCCAUGUCACAUACUAAGGUUACCAUUCAACAAUGAAUCUAGGAAUAAACUGAUACCCUAACGUGAAAAUAGGACAAGUGCGGAUUAGUGAGAAUCAAUUACCCAACAUUCGCGCUAUAUUAUUCAGCAACUUUCCAGUCACGUCAAACAUAAAACUACUACAUGAAACAAAAUGACGCUGAUUUGUCAAUACUUUGUUUCUAUUCGUGUAAAUGAUUAGGUAAAACGAAAUAUCUACCACGGAUGAUACUAACCUAUAUCAUUGGUUAUUAAUAUGCAAGUUCAUGUUUUAGUGUGCUUGGUUAUUAAACGUUUUAUAACUUAAUUGUAGAUGUUGGAUCAAAAGUUGCAAUUCAAAGAUGUUACAACAAGACACAAUUCAGUCUGUAACGGCAAGACACUUGUUUUAUCAAUAAACCAUUUGAUCAAUAGAUUGA